rnacentral:rRNA from 1 species
UUUUAUUUGAGAGUUUGAUCCUGGCUCAGGAUGAACGCUGGCGGCGUGCCUAACACAUGCAAGUUGAGCGAUUUACUUCGGUAAAGAGCGGCGGACGGGUGAGUAACGCGUGGGUAACCUCCCCUGUACACACGGAUAACAUACCGAAAGGUAUGCUAAUACGGGAUAAUAUAUUUGAGAGGCAUCUCUUGAAUAUCAAAGGUGAGCCAGUACAGGAUGGACCCGCGUCUGAUUAGCUAGUUGGUAAGGUAACGGCUUACCAAGGCGACGAUCAGUAGCCGACCUGAGAGGGUGAUCGGCCACAUUGGAACUGAG